AGUUUGAUCCUGGCUCAGGAUGAACGCUGACAGAAUGCUUAACACAUGCAAGUCGAUGGGGAAGUGGUGCUUGCACCAUGGUAACCAUGGCGGACGGGUGAGUAACGCGUAAGGAACUUGCCUGCGGGACCGGGAUAACAGCAGGAAACUGCUGACAAGACCGGAUAAGGUCAUUAAGCUGCAUAGCUUAGUGAUGAAAGGAGACGCCUGCGGAGAGCCUUGCGUCCUAUUAGCUAGUUGGAGGGGUAACGGCCCACCAAGGCGAAGAUAGGUAGCCGGCCUGAGAGGGUGGACGGCCACAAGGGGACUGAGAUACGGCCCUUACUCCUACGGGAGGCAGCAGUGGGGAAUAUUGGACAAUGGGGGCAACCCUGAUCCAGCAAUUCUGUGUGCACGAAGACGGUUUUCGGAUUGUAAAGUGCUUUCAGCAGGGAAGAAGUAAGUGACGGUACCUGCAGAAGAAGCGACGGCUAAAUACGUGCCAGCAGCCGCGGUAAUACGUAUGUCGCGAGCGUUAUCCGGAAUUAUUGGGCAUAAAGGGCAUCUAGGCGGCCUUUCAAGUCAGGGGUGAAAACCUGCGGCUCAACCGCAAGCCUGCCCUGGAAACUAUGUGGCUAGAGUACUGGAGAGGUGGACGGAACUGCACGAGUAGAGGUGAAAUUCGUAGAUAUGUGCAGGAAUGCCGAUGAUGAAGAUAGUUCACUGGACGGUAACUGACGCUGAAGUGCGAAAGCCGGGGGAGCGAACAGGAUUAGAUACCCUGGUAGUCCCGGCCGUAAACGAUGAUUACUGGGUGUGGGCAGGAAGACUGUCUGUGCCGAAGCGAAUGCGAUAAGUAAUCCGCCUGGGGAGUACGGCCGCAAGGCUGAAACUCAAAGGAAUUGACGGGGACCCGCACAAGCGGUGGAGCAUGU
rnacentral:rRNA from 1 species